rnacentral:lncRNA from 1 species
CUGGGGAAGCCCCUUUAGGCAGUGACGUGCCUUGAGGUUCAACUUGAACUCAACUUGACCUGAGUACUAUUUGUCAUCACUUCUUUCCACUUCCCCUCUCUGCCUCUAUCAAAAUCCUAGGCUGCUCUCAAGAUUAAAUGGAAAUGUCAGCUCCCCACAGAAGCCUCCCAGGUUCCUAGUUGUACUCCCUGCUUCCCUUCCCCCUGUCCCCCCGACUUUAACUGUAAGUAGCUUCAAUCUCUCAGGAAAUUCUCCUCACAUUUGCUGAUGGGUCAGAGAGCCCCUGGCUGCCAAACCCUGCCUUACUUUGGAAGCUAAGGCUGAAUCUCCUUCACCUAUGUACCCCCUUCCGGGAAUUCAGUGACUGUGGGAUUGACUUGGACCUGAGCAUCUGUGGAGGUGAAUUUGGGGGGCUGAGGGGAGGCACAGCAGUGGCCUGAGCUGCCAAGUUGCCUGGACUCCUUGACAUGUGCCUCUUCUACUCCAGGAGGAGGAUUGAUCCUACCUGACUAAUGAUCCCUGUGCUAGCUAGAGCUGGGAGGCCCAGCCCAUGUGUCCUUCCCGCUGGUACUUCAAAUGCAACAGUCAUGCCAAGCCCCCUGGGAUUGGAGGGAUUCUACUGUGUAGGUUCCAUUCUCUAGGUCCAGGGCCCAUUCUCCCCACUGAGUGAACAUAGAACUGAUGUAAUUUAAAUUUGCAAUUUAAGAUGGGAUUUGGUCUGGGAAGUAGCAGUAACUUAACCAAAAAUAAAUUUUUUGAAGGAAAUAAAUAGAAAUAGACAUCGAUUUUUUAUUCAUAGCAGAUGCACAAAACUUAUUUUAUGCCAUACUUUGAAAAAUGUAUUUAGGACAAAGAUUGCCUGAAUCAUUGAAGGAACUUUCCACUAUAAAACAAUCGAUCUCAGAUUUGUUACUACAGAACAAGAAGGAAGGGAAAUAUCCACUCAUCAGUCACCUCUCCAUGGACUAAACUAUCUGAAAGGUCAAAAACUAAACCAAAACCAAAAAACUAAAAACCUGCGUUAUAAAACUAACAGUAAAAUACGUAAAGUGCAAACAGAAUUGAAGCACUUUUGCUGUUAGAGUGAAUGCUAAUCGACACAAUUGCUCUCUGGAGACUAAUAGUCACUGGGCCCAGCAAGGUUGGGAAGCCACACCUGAGAUUGCUACAUUAAGCCCAGGACCUUGGAGAGGGGAUAAAUGGCCUCAGGUUGGUAUCUGACACUCUUAGUGUUCACAAAAAAAGCAAAACAAACUUGCUGGAGGAAAACAUCUCAUUUUAAAGCUAUUGGUUUCCCAUAUAUUAAAAUCUAGCAACCAUGAGUUCAAAAUCAAAGAUUACUGAGCACAAAAAGAAACAACAAGACGUCACUGUUUGAAAGGCAGAGAAAUAACAGUGAUUUAGACCCCCAAGGAUUUAAGAUUUUGGAAUUAUCAGAUAUAGGAUAUAAAAUAUGUAGGAAAUGUUGAAAGAAAUUUAAAAAAUGAGAUCGUAAAAAUGUAUAGGCCACAAAGACUAACCAAAUGACCAAACAACUUUAAAAGAACCAAAUAGGACAUUUAGACAUAAAGAAUGUGAUCACCGAAACAGAAAAUGAGAUGGAUACAUUAAACAGCAGAUUCAACAGUUAAAAGGAGAAACAAA